rnacentral:tRNA from 1 species
GGAGGGUACAGCUCAGUGGUAGAGCGCAUGCUUGGCACACGGAGUCAUGGGUUCAAUCCCCAGUCCCUCCA